UCCUGGUUUUGACCCUUGCCUGUCCUGACUCUGAGCCCGCCUGUCUGACUACUCUGCCUGACCCUGAGCCUGCCUGCCGACCUGUACCUUUGCCCCACCUCUGCAUUGUUGACCUUCGCCUACCCUGUGCCUGCCUGCUGUCCGGUACCGUUGCCCCACUUCUGGUUUACUGACCCCUGCCUGCCUUGACCUGUCUUUUGCCUACCCCUGUUGGAAUAUUAAACCAUUGUCAAUUCGACGUGUCUGCGCUUGAGCCUUACCUUGAUUCCUGAUAAGCACGGAGUGAACGUCGCCGUGAAGCUGGACGACGAACAAGGCUGGUCAAAGACGGCUUCAGUGCUUCAGUGUGACACCCAGGUCAUGCAUGAUCCAGACAGAUACGGGAGUGCUGCGCAGGAAUCCACGCCACCUGAAACCCCUCUGCAGUGCUUCAGAGACUUGUCAAAAGGGUGGAGAGGAACACCCAGAGUGUGACACGGAGUUGCACUUACCUAUUCCAGAUGCCGACCCACCUCCUGUCCCAGAACCACAGACUCCAGUACCCAGGCCUUCUCGUGGUACAGUUGUCAAACCACCAGACGGAUACAGAGAGCAUAACGCACAGCCUGCAUUAUGUGACAGAAGAACCCCACUGCAGCUAUGAAUGUGACUGGCAGUCCACCCAGCUCACCUUAGGGUAAUCUAUAGUUAGUGUUGAAGAAACAACUGUUUUUAUGGAAUGUUAAAGACAGAAAAUGAGUUGAUGUUUCAUGAGUUGUUGAACUUUAAAGACAGAAAAGUUUGUUUAUGAAUUCAUAUGUUGAGGCAAGUUAAUUACAGAGUGAUGAACUAUAAACAUUGUGUUUUGACAUUUUAGAAACACAUGUCUUGGAAGGGUGAUGUAUUGGAACUAUUUUGUUAUGGCACAGGUAUAUUCAUGACGUCAUAUAAAAGGUGAUUGGGCAAGUCGCUCCGCGUGCAUCCGUCGUAACAAGUCCAGUGAAGACGGUCUCCUGUGUUAUGUUCCUUAUUGUUUCAUUAAAGUCAACCAAAGGGAUAUUUACCUCAAGAUUCCUCACAUAAAGCAUAACACUACAGUGACCAUGAUAACAUAACCUGGUGGUUGAAAUUUCACCCUCAAAACAACCGUUUACGUUGAUUCCUUUUUUCCGUAUCCAAUGCAUUUUCCACGUAGGUUCCACGUCACGAUUACAUUGACAAAUUACGUUGAAACAAUGUUGAUUCAACCAGUUUGUGCCCAGUGGGUAGUGACAUUAUAAAAAUCAUCUAAUGAUCAGAUGUGCUUUUCAGCAUUACAUUUGGAACUUUAUCGGUGUGACAUUGCUAGUAUGUAGAGAGAGAAUUCAAUAAUGUCAGGCAUAUUCCAUUAAGACACAAAGAACCCCUGAAACGUUGAUCCGACUGCACCAAUUGGACGCAGUGUUCUCUUUGUUCUCCUCCUCAAAACGUUAUCUUCCAGACGCGAGUCAAAUGAAUAUGCACAAUAUUGUUAUUCAGAAAACAAGGACAUCCUGUGAAGGUCUACCUAUGAAACGCUCAAAACAGUUGAGUUUGCGUGUGGUAUUGUGCAAGGGGUUUUUCCUGUUCAGGCUCACAGUCAGAAAACUCCUGGCCCUAAUGCAUACUACAAGGAUAAUUCAUGACUUUGACACCACUUGGUAGUUACUGUAGCGCUGUGAUGGUGUCUUACAAAACAAGAACAUGUGGGAUGUGCAUUACCAGUGUAGACUGCAGAAAUGACAGUCAUAUUGAAACCCAUCCACCAACAUGUGGGCUGAUGGAGGGUGAGGAGAAUAGGUGUAGAAGCAGGCCUAUUUCCUAAAAUUGGGUAAAAGCUUAAACACUUCCUACUUUAAAGGCCACCCACCCAAAAAGACUUAUAGGUAAUAAUAUUGACAUUUUUUGGUCCCGCUUCAUAGACCAUGGAACAAAACGUUUUGGUAUGUGGGCCUUUGGACUAUGUGGGAUGGUGGAAAGUUGUGCUAACAAAAAAGGGGUUAAUGAUUACCACAAUCCUAAAACGUUUAAAGCUCAAUCCGGACACAGAAAGAUCAAGCCCAGAAAGAGCGCUCAAUUACCAGGUUUCUUUUAGGCCUCAAGUUGAUUUGAAGUAGUUCAGGUAUGUUAGAGGCCAAGGAAGUGUAUUCGUUCUUGCUCUUUGUGAAUGGGUGGUUGGGUCAGCUCUUCACCCCCUGCUCCCAACCAGUCCUCCUAUCUACAAGCAGUCUCAAUACCCAACAGUAUCUUGGCAAAUGGUACUUUGUUGCAGCGGCUGGUGUGAAGGAGUCGGAUGUUCAGACAGAUGGACAGCACUGUGUUUCACCUGAAUGAGACCUCUGAAAAGACACUACUGUUGACCGGAGCCAUAUGCGUGGGUGUUCAUUGCAUUAUGAAAAACUGGACCUAUACUAUUCAGUCUGGCAAAGAUGAUUUGACAUCACAAGGCAGGCCUGAGCUGCAGACUCUAGUGUGGAGUGGAGAGUGGCUGAACUGCAACCAGUGUAUCCUGCUGCAGGAGAUGGAGUGUCACUUGGACCCACUAGAGAGACACGACACCCUCAACAGAUUCAUGCUUUACGCUCGUGACAGUGCCUUAUUGGAUAAUAAAGUGGUGAAGGCGUUUCGGACCCAAAUGGCUUGUAAAAAUAUGGAUAGAUUUGUCCGUCUCCCUCAAGAGAAAGAGCUUUGUCAUUUGAAUAAGGCGUAGCACUGAGGCUGCCUGAUAUUUGUUGGAGUCUUCAAUCAAGAUCAUGCUAUGCAUCGAAAUAGGUUUCCUUUUUAGAGUUUAUUAUUAGCGUAUUGCCCACUCUAACUUUGAUCUAACUCAGAAACAUGGAACUAAUUCAAAUGAAGAACUCUCCUCUCAUUUCCCAUGUGUAAUAGUAAAACAAAUAAACAGAAAAAAAGAACAGCUAUUCAAAGUCUAUUCCAAAGUCUCAGAAUGUUUUAGAAUAGCACUAGUGACCCAGGCGUAGACUUCUAAAUAUUUUCCAUCGCUCAUUUAAACUUGCAGUGACAUGGUACAAAGAAGGGCCUAUUUCCAGGGAAAUAUUUCACUUUCACGCGUUUCUCUUUUUGUGAGAGAUGACUUAACUGUCAUGGUUCACUGAACUGCAUUGUUCCACUCUUCGCCUACCUCCAUCAAUGGAGGCUGCUGUGUGAAGGAUGGCUCAUAAUAAUGUCUGGGAUGGAGUCAAUGGAAAGGUAUCAAACACCAUUGACUCCAUUCCAGCCAUUAUUAUGGGCAGUCCUCCCUUCAGCAGCCUCCGCUGACCUCUAUCUAAAUACCAUUCAUCAAUUUAGAAAAGAAUCCAGGGCUAGUUUACCGGGGGAGUAGCCGCCCACGUAGUUACACUGACAGUGCAGGGGAAAUUCCCAUGAUGCUGCUGACAGAGCAGAGGCUCAGAGCACACAGUCGUUCACAACUAGAGUGGUCAUCCACAGUUCUCUUCUUCAUUUGCUCUAAUGUAAUAUAACACAGGGUGACUGAAAGCAGAAACGGUGAAAUUUGCUUUCACCUGUCCUUUUUAUUUCUUGUAAGGUUAUUUCUUUGACCUGCAGUUCAAAAGUCAAGAAAAUAUAGGUAUAUGAAGGGGUAGACUAGGGAUUUGGGGUGCAUCGGAUACAUUGUACAUGUCAUUUUUAUGGCUUAAAUACAAUAACAUUUGAGUCCAGACUCCCGUGUCUGGUCCUAUUAAAAACACCUACAGUAUACACUACAUUGGCAAUAAACCUCUUCCAAUACAAGAGAGAAUUGAAAUUGAGAAUUCUUUGAGUUAAUAGUUUCUCAAAAUGAUGUCAAAGCCAUUGAUUGAUGUAAAAUAGCGCCACUUUCAUCUGCACCGUCAUCAGUAACAAAGCACCAUGUCCAGUCAAUAUAUUUGACAUCAGGCGAUGUGGGUUUUUACUUGUAGCCUCAAGGAAAAGUCAAACAGUGGUGUCCUUUUUGCUUAUGUAACAUUUUGAAUCCUAUGCUGUAGCUCUGGACUCGCAUUCAUAAAGCAGAGCAGGAGUGCAGAUCUGGGAUCAGUUUCGCCUUUCAGAUAAUGAAUAAGAUUACAUAGAUAGGGAACCUGAUCCUAUCAGCACUUCUACUCUGAGAAGCUUUAUGAAUAAGGGCCCUGGUUAGAAAUGAUUGACAUACCAGUGGUUGCUACCAGUGCCAGGAGACAAUCAAUGGCUGAGUUAGACAAAGUCAACAUGUAGCUAACAAUGUCACCAUUCAAGUACCUCUGUGUUUCAACUAUGCCCGGGGCUAAUAUGAAUGUCAGAAUAUAUCCUGAAACCAUGAUGAAAUCCUUGUCUGUCUCCCUCCCCCUCUCCAUUUAUCUCUCUGGUUUACGCACUUUCAAAGGUUUGUGACGCACCAACAUGAAGUCACUUGACUUCCCAGAGACACUUAGGCAUGAAACAACUUGUUGACCGACAGAAAGUACAGAGUACAGUGUGAGAAUUUACUUCCUGUCUCCGUCAGAAUGACUUUAGAUUCUUACCUUUCUCUCACCUGUACGGUGUCCAUAAUAGGACAGCCUCAAUCUCAGCAGGACUUGUUUCAAUCUCAGUAGGACUUGUUUCAAUAAGUUAGUAUAGUCACAGUAUGGCUGAGAUUCUAUUCCCAGUGUGUUCCUCUUCAUUUCAGUAUAGUUUCUCAAAUAUCAAUGCCAUUUACAGUAUAUGAAAACAUAUCUUGUUAAGCCCAAAAAUAGGCAGUCAAACUCCCCUGCAUAAUAUUUCAUUACUGUCAAACGAUGGUUCUUCCAGCCCACCUCUAACACAGCUGAUUGUUGUUGAGCAGUUCACUAGUUAUAUUGAUGAGCAGUUCACUAGUGAAACACUAAUCAGGCGGUAGUGCUGGGCAGAAGCACCCUUUAGUUCUCCCUGACCAGGAAUGGUGACCGCUGAUAUAUGCCAAUAUUGAGCCAAACACAUCUACGAUGCUGUACAGAUUGAAAUCCAUGAUCUAAAACUGGACAGAAACUGAUCCAUGAUCUAAAACUGGACAGAAACUGAUCCAUGAUCUAAAACUGGACAGAAACUGAUCCAUGAUCUAAAACAGAACAGAAACAGAUCCAUGAUCUAAAACAGAACAGAAACAGAAUAGAAACUGAACAGAAUGUGAUUAGAUGGAUGCCAGAGGGUUUCUGCUUUCAACAACAGCAGUGCCUGAACUUCUGCAUUUCAGGAAGAUGGGGAAAAGACUUAAAGGCUAACAUGAUUGAAGGCCUUGUCUGAGAAUUUUGCAUGCAUUGGGUAAGCACCUAAACCGUCUGUGGCAUGUGAAGAAAAGCACAGGUUGAUUGGGGAUGCCCCAUAGAGCAAGAAACCAAGAACAGGAAAGUUACAUAGAAAUCUACAAACAAACGUUCUCUCGCUCUCACUUUUGCUGUCCACUUUCUAAAAGUUACUUUCAGUCCUGUUUAUGAAAUCAACAGUGUUCAACUUCACGCAUCUGCAUUUCCAUACCCUAUGUAUCAGGAAUCAAGGUAAGACCCAAGUGCAGGACUGUGUGAAGUAACAAUGUUUAAUGACCGGUCAAGGCAGGCACGAUAAUCCAGAGUAGAGGCCAAGGUACAGGACGGCAGGCAGGCAGACGGGCUCAGAGUCAGGACAGACAAUGGUCAAAACCAGGAGGGCAAGAAAAGAGACUGGGGAAAAGCAGGAGCCGAGAAACAAAACGCUGGUUCACUUGACAAACAAGACGACCUGGCAACAGAGAACACGGGUAUAAGUACCCAUGGGAUAAUGGGGAAGAUGGGCGACACCUGGAGGGGGCGGAGACAAGCACAAGGACAGGUGAAACAGAUCAGGGCAUGACUAUGGCUAUUUCCAUGCCCUAUGUAUGUAAAGUCAGAUUGAGUCACUGUGGCUGCCAGCUGGUUUAUGAAACCAUGAAGAAAACUCCCUGUCAUGUUUUUGUACCUGUCAAACCCACUGACACUGACCUAUAAAUAUGUGUGGGAAAUCACAUGCCCCCACAUCUGUCAAUGUUGUGCCUGACUCAUCUGUAGCCUUACUAGCCUAUAGUUCCUCGCCACAGGGAUGAUAGUGGUUCUGUCACCUUCUCUUUGCCUGUAUUGUCAUACUUCAGUAAACGUAAAGAUACCUUAAUAGAAAAUGACUCAAGUAAAUGUGAAAGUGAACUGAAUUUGAAAACUGAAUCUAAAUGCAUUUGAGAUUUGAUAGUUUGCAAACUUAAUACACAGACAAUGAAUGCAAUAUCCACCACAUUGAAACAGAAUAUAUAAAUAUUGAAUUUGAAUAUUCAAUUAAGUUGUAAUAUCAUUUUAAAAGUGAAUGCAAUAUUCAUUCAAUUAAUUUUUCAAAUCAGGAAAUACAAGUUACAUUUAUUAAUUCUAUGAAUAAAUUUGUGCAUUGCAAAUGUAAAAUUAUUGCAUUUGAAUUCAGUAUCUUAAUGCAAAUAAAAAAAUGUUGAAUUCAAA